AUGAUAGGGAUUGCACUGAAUCUGUAGAUUGCCUUAGGUAGUAUAGUCAUUUUGAUAAUAUUGACUCUUCCAAUCCAAGAGCAUGGUAUGUAUGUCUUUCCAUCUGUUUGUGUCAUCUUUGAUUUCUUUCAUCAGCAUCUUACAGUUUUCAGAGUAUAGGUCUUUUGACUCUUUAUGUAGGUUUAUUCCUAAGUAUUUUAUUCUUUUUGAUGUGAGAGUAAGUGGGAUUGUUUCCCUAACUGACCUCUCAUUGUUAGUUUAUAGAAUGCAGUUGAUUUCUGUGUAUUAAUUUUGUAUCCUGCGGCUUUGCUAAAUUCAUUGAUGAGCUGUAACAGUUUUCUCUAGCGUCUUUGGAUUUUCUAGGUAUAGUAUCAUGUCAUCUGCAAGUAGUGAUAGUUUUACUUCUUCCUUUCCAGUUUCGAUUCCUUUUCUUUCCUUUUUUUUUUUUUUUUUCUGAUUGCCGUGGCCAGGACUUCCAAAACUAUGCUGAAUGGUAGAGGAAAGAGCGGGCAUCACUGUCUUGUUCCUAUUCUCAUCGGGAACUCUUUCAGCUUUUCACCAUUGAGAAUUAUGUUAGCUGUGGGUUUGUCAUAUAUGGCUUUUGUUAUGCUGAGGUAGGUUCCUUCUAUGCCCACUUUCUAAAGGGUUCUUAUCAGAAAGGGGUGUUGGAUUUUGUCAAAGGCUUUUUCUGCAUCUGUUGAGAGGAUCUUAUAGUUUCUAGUCUUCAGUUGUUAAUGUGGUGUAUCACAAUGAUUGAUUUGCAAAUACUGAAGAAUCUUUGCAUCCCUGGGAUAAAUCCCACUUGAUCCUGAUGUACAGUCCUUUUAAUGUGUUGUUGCAUUCGGUUUGCUAUUAUAUUGUUGAGGAUUUUUGCAUCUAUGUUCAUCAGUGAUAUCAGCCCAUAAUUUUUUUUUUUUGUGGUUAUCUUUGAUUGGGUGAUGGUGGCCUCGUGGAAUGAGUUUGAGAGUAUUCCUUCCUCUGCAGUUUCUUGGAAUAGUUUCAGAAGGAUGGAUGUUAACUCUUCUCUGAAUGUUUGAUGGAAAUCUGGGCCUGCACUUUUGUUUGUUAGAGGUUUUUAAAUCACAGUUUCAAUUUCAGUUCUUGUGAUUGGUCCAUUCAUCUUUUCUAUUUCAUCUUGGUUUAGUCUUGGAAGAUUGUGCUUUUCUAAGAAUUUGUCCAUUUCUUCUAGGUUUUCUGUUUUACUGGCAAGUAGUUGCAUAUAGUAGUCUCUUAUGAUCCUUUUUAUUUCUGUGAUGUCCUUGUAACUUCUUUUUCAUUCCUAAUUUUAUUGAUUUGAGUCCUCUCUUUUUUUCUUGGUAAGUCUGGCUAAGGGUUUAUCAACUUUGUUGAUCUUUUCAAAGAACCAGCCUUUAGUUUCAUUGGUAUCUUCUAUGGUUUUCUUCAUUUCUAUUUCAUUUAUUUCUGUUCCAAUCUUUAUAAUUUCUUUCCUUCUGCUAACUUUAGGUCUUGUCUCUCUAGCUGCUUUAGAUGUAAAGUUAGAUUGUUUAUUUGAGUUUUUCCUUAUUUCCUGAGGUAGGCUCAUAUUGCUAUAAAUGUCCCUCUUGGAACUGCUUUUGCUACAUUGCAUAGGUUUUGGAGUGUUGUAUCUUUGUUGUCAUUUGCUUCUAUGUAUUUUUUUUUAAUUUCCUCUUUGAUUUCUUUAGUGAUCCAUUGGUUGUUUAGUAGCAUGCUGUUUAGUUUCCAUGUGUUUAUGGUUUUUGCAGUUUUUGUUGUUGAUAUCUUCUAUAGUGUUGUGGUCAGAAAAGAUGCUUGAUAUGAUUUGUUUUCUUAAAGUUGCCAAGACUUGAUUUGUGGCCCAGAAUGUGAUCAGUCCUAGAGAUGGUCCGUGUGCACUUCAGAAGAAUCGGUAUUCUGCUGCUUUUGGAUGGAAUGUUCUAUAAAUAUCUAUUAGGUCCAUCUGGUCUAGUGCUUGAUUUAGGCCCGUGUUUCUUUGUUGAUUUUCUGUCUGGAUGAUCUGUCCAUUGCUGUAAGUGGGGAGUCAAAGUCCCCCACUAUUGCUGUGUUAUUGUCACUUUAUCCUUUUAGGGUUGUUAGCAGUUGCCUUAUAUAUUGUGCAACUAUGUUGGGUGCAUAGAUAUUUAAAAUUGUUAUAUCUUCUUCUUCGAUUGAUUCUUUAUCAUUAUGUAAUGUCCUUCCAUGGCUCUUAAAAUAUUCUUCAUUUUAAGGUCUGUUUUAUCUGAUAUGAGUAUUGCUACUGCAGCUUUCUUUUGAUUCCUGUUUGCAUGGAAUAUUUUCUUCCAUCCUCUUUCAAUUCGUAUGUGUCCCCAGAAGUGAAAUGUGUCUCUUGAAGACAGCAUGUAUAUGAAUCUUGUUUUUGUAUCCAUUCAGCCUGUCUAUGUCUUUUGGUUGGGCCAUUUAGUCCAUUUGCAGUGCAAAGUAAUUCUUGAUGUGUAUGUUCUUCUUGCCAUUUUAUCAACUGUUUCAGAUUUGGUUUUGUUGCUCUUUUUUCUUCCCUUCUUGUUCUUUCCUCUUGUGGUUUGAUGACUGUCUUUAGUGUUGUAUUUGAGUUAAUCUUUCGUAUUUGUGUAUCAGUUGUAGGUUUGGUUUGCAGUUUCCCUGAAGUUUUGAUGUAGGAGUUUUGAUUAAUACGUGUCUCGGGGUGCUCCUCCUUGGGUUUAUAUUAUAUGGUACUCGUUGUGCUUCCUGGAUUUGAGUGAGUGGUUCCUUUCCCAUGUUAGAGAAAUUUUCGACUAUUAUCUCUUUGAAUAUUUUUUCUGUCCCCUUCUCUCUCUCUCCUCCUUCUGGCACCGCUAUAAUAUGGAUGUUGGUGUGUUUAACGUUGUCCCAGAGUUCUCUGAGACUGUCUUCAUUUGUUUUCAAUCUUUUUUUCUUUUCUGUUCUGCAUCCGUGAUUUCCACUAGUCUGUCCUCCACCUCACUUAUUCAUUCUGCCUCCUAUAUUCUGCUGUUGGCUGCUUCUAAUGAAUUUUUUAUUUCAGUUACUGUAUUUUGCAUCUCUCCUUACUUAAGUUUUGUAUCUUCUAUCUCUUUGCUCAGUGUUUCCUGUAAGUUACCCAUCUUUGCCUCCAGUUUAUUUCCAGUGUCUUACAUCAUCUUCAGCAUCAUCAGUCUAAAGUCUUUUUCCUUGAGGCUGAUAAUCUCCAGAUCACCUAGCUGUUUUUCUGGGUUUUCUUUCUCCCUUACCUGAGUUAUAGCUCUUGGCCUUUUCAUUUUUAUAGGUUUUUGGUGUGUUCUCCUUUUUGCAGACUAUAGAGUUGUACUCUCUCUUUCUUCUGGUGUCUGCCCCCCUUGUGGCUGAAGUUGGUAUGGGGGCUUGCUGUAGGCUUCCAGAUGGGAGGGACUGGUGCCUACCCAUUGGUAGGUGGGGCUGAUUCCUAUCCCUCUGGUGGGUGGGGCUUUGUCUCUGGGUGAGAAUAAAGGUUGGCUGUGUGCCUGGGGGGUCUUUAGGCAGCCUGUUUACUGAUGGGCAGGGCUGUGAUCCCACCUGGAUUGUUGUUUGGCCUGGGGCUUCUCAGCACCAAUGGGUGGGACCAGAUUUUCCCAAAAAACAGGCCACCUCCAGAGAAAGGCAUGCUGCUAAAGAUUCCCAAGAGCUUUGCUUCCAAUGUCCUUCCCCCACAAUGAGCCACAUUCACCCCUGUUUUCCCAGGAGAUUCUCCAAGAACUGCAGUCAGGUCCAACCCAGAUUCCUAGGGAGUCUCUGCUUUGCCCUGGGACCCAGUGUACAUGAAGGUCUGUGUGCUCCUUUCAAAAAUGGGGUCUCCGCUUCCCUCAGUCCCCUGGAUCUCCUGCGCACAAGCCCCACUGGCCAUCGAUGCCAGACGCUCUGGUGGGCUCUUUCUCCCAGUGCCAGGUCCCCAGGCAUUGGGGCCUGAUGUGGGGCUCAGAACUCUCACUCCUGUAGGUGAGUCUCUGUCAUAGUUACUCUCCAGUCUGUGGGCUGCCCACCCGGCGGGUAUGGAUGGGGUUGCUUAUAUCACGUAACCACCCCUCCUGCCACCUUGACGUGACCUCCUCUUUGUCUUCUAGAGUAGGAUAUCUGUUUUGAAAGUCUCCAGUCUAUCUGGUUGAAGGUUGUUCAGCAUUUGGUUGUAAUUUUGUUGUUUUUAUGAGAGAAGCUGAGCUCCAGUCUUCUGUUCUGCAAUCUUAAUCCCAUCUCAACAGAUAUUUUUACAGUUAAAAAAAAAAACCUCCUAUCUAGUUUGCUAAUAAAAAUUAUUGUCAUCAGUGUCCACAAGGAUUUUGACUGCUUUUUCUGCAUUUGUGGUGCCAUAUAUAAUGCUGUUUCUUUCAUUUACCUUAUUAAUAUGAGCAAUUGCAGUAAUAGACAAUAUUGCAUUCCUGUGAUAAAUCCCACCUGUUCAUGCUCUAUUUUCUUUAAAUACUGCUGUAGUCACUAUUUUUUGGUGGGAUUUCUUAAAAAAUAUGUUCAAGGGUAAAAUUGUUCUAGAUUUUUAUUUUCCUUGUGUAGAUUUAGUGUUUUAUGAGGAAAUCUAUAUUUGCCUCAUAAAAUAAGUUGCAUAAUUUUAUUUUGCUAUGUUCUUGGAAUAGUUUGUCAUGAUGAUUUGUUAGAAGUUGUGUGUUAAAAAAAAGUCAACUCUUGUCAUUUGAAGGACAGAAUAAACGUGUUUCCUUUAAAUGUUAUUGGUUUAAGUUUUUUAAAAGAAAAAUUUUCUUUUUUAAUUGCAGUGUAGUUGAUUUACAAUGUUGUGUUACUUUCAGAAGCACAGCAAAGAGAUUCAGGGUCUUUUCUAUUAUAGGUUCAUACACGAUACUGAGUAUAGUUCCCUGGGCUAUACAGUAGGAGCGUGUUUAUCUAUUUUAUGUACAGUAGUGUGUGUGUGUGUGUGUGUGAAUCCCAAAUUCUCAAUUUAUUCCUUCUCUCUCUUUUCCCAUUGGUAACCGUAAGUUUACUCUCCAUGUCUGUGAGUUCACUUCUGUUUUGUAAACAAUUUCAUUUGUAUCUUUUUUUAGAUUCUACGUGUAAGUGAUACUAUAUGAUAUUUGUCUUUCUCUGACUACUUUGGUUGGCAUGAUAACCUCCAGAGCCAUCCACGCUGCUGCCAGUGGCACUUCUUCAUGCUUUUCUGUGGCUGAGUGGUGGCCUCUUCUCCACAUCUUCCUUCUCCAGUCCUUUGCUAAUGAAUACUUAGGUUCCUCCCAUGUCUUGGCUUUUGGGAAUAGUGCUGCAGUGAACAAUGGGAUACAUGUAUCUUUUCAAAUUACGGUUUGCUCCAUAAAACAGAUUUUCCUGAGACAAUUUUGGUUAAGGUGUUUUUCUGGAUAAUAGUCUGUUUAGUCUCUGUUUUCCAAUUUUUGGUACCGUGUAAAUCAGUAUCAGUGUGUGGUAUUUACUUUAAAUUUCUCUUUGUUAAAGUUGUGUCUACUUUUGUCAUUCUUUGUGUUGUUUAUUUAUUUCUUGACUGAGCCUGAAUUUCUCCUGCUCACUCUCCUCAGAUGAUGAUCUAUUUUUAAAAAGAAAAAAUACAUAUACGUUUAAAAAAGAAAGUUUAAAUAUACAUAUGUUAACUACACAUUUUUCUAACAAUGUAUGACAGCAUUAGGUACCUCUUUUAACCUUCUCCCUAAACUACGAAGACCUUAGCGUAUUUUACCUUUUUCUGUUUGUAUUUCUUAUUUUUAUAUGCAGAUAUAGUAUCUUUGUGAUUAACAAUUAAUUAGGAGUUCCCACUGUGGCACAGUGGGUUAUGAACCCAAUAGCAAUGGCUCUGGUCACUGAGCAGGUGCAGUUUCAAUCCUGCCAUGCAGCAGGUUAAAGGAACCAGCGUAGGUCUCAGCUGCAGCUCAACCCCUGGCCCAGGAACUUCCAUAUGCUCCAGGUGCAGCAAUAAAUUUCUUAAUUAAAUGUGGUAAUAUGUUUUUAAUUAAUUUCUUGUUCACUAUUAUCUAGGUCAUAUAUGCACAUUUGAUUCUUUUUGUCUGUAUUUAUUUGCUUCCUGCAAAUAUAACUUUUACAGUACUUUUAGUAAGCACACAUAGUUUGUACAAUGUUACUUGUCUUUAUAUUUCUGUAUACUCUGUGCUCCUUGUUGGAGGAUAAUAACCUGGGUAUAGAUUGAAGUUGAUACUGUUCAUCUCCCAGUAAUGUGAAAGCUAUCACUCCAGAGUUCCCAUCAUGGCUCAGUGGUUAACGAAUCCAACCAGGAACCAUGAGGUUGCGGGUUCAAUCCAAGGCCUUGCUCAGUGGGUUAAGGAUCCAGCAUUGCCAUGAGCUGUGGUGUAAGUCACAGAUGCAACUCAGAGCCCGUGUUGCUGUGACUGUGACGUAGGCUGGUGGCUACAGCUCUGGUUGACUCCUAGCCUGGGAACCUCCAUAUGCCGUGGGAGCAGCCCAAGAAAUGGCAAAAAAAACAAAAAAAAAAAAAAAA
rnacentral:lncRNA from 1 species